AUGGACGAGCGCGAGCGUCCAUUGGCUACCGCCACGAGCAGGGCACCGGAUGGUCGUCGCGCCAUCUGGAAGAUCAUAUGGGGGUGCCCUGCUCCCCCUAAGGUACGCGUCUUCGCAUGGAGAGUUGUGACUAAUUCACUUGCUACAUGGGCCAACAAAUUUUCUCGCCACCUCGAGCUUACUGACUUAUGUCCCCUCUGUGGCAUGGAACGAGAGGACGGAUUCCACGCAUUCUGCAGGUGCCCACUAGCUAGCGAGCUAUGGCGUGCCAUGGCGGUGGACUGGAACAUCCCCAAGCUGGAGUCCAUCAGCAACCCCGGACCGGAGUGGCUCUUCACACUGUUGGAACCCCUAGAUGACACGACAAGGAUGGUGGUGCUUAUGACCAUGUGGCGGAGUUGGCAUGUGCGCAACGAGAUUACACAUGACAAAAUGCCUCCUCCGACUGAAGCCUCCCGACGCUUCCUCCACCGGUAUAUUACUUCGCUCCUGUGUAUUAAUCAACACCCUUCGGGAGACCAUGUGAAAGGGAAGAUGGUGGUCGUUGCUUCACCACCAGCAGCUCGGGUCAUCUCUGGCCCCAAGAUGCAGCCGAGAUGGGUCCCCCCUGACACGGGCUGGACCAAGCUAAACACGGAUGGCAGCUUUAUUACUUCUACGGGUACGGCUGGAGGAGGUAUGAUUCUCCGAGAUGAUAGAGGUGAGAUCAUCUAUAGUGCAUGUAGAGAACUCCGUGCAUGUGAGAGUGCCUUGGAGGCGGAGCUAGCAGCGUGUCGAGAAGGACUGGAGUUGGCCUUGCACCGGACGAACCUUCCAAUUAUAGUUGAGCUAGACAGUGCGGAGGCGGUGACGUUGCUCACAACACGCACGAGAGAUAGAUCGAGGCACCACAUUCUCAUAGAGGAGAUCCGAAGAUUAGCUGAUACCGAUGAUAGAGAGAUUUUAUUUGCUCGCUGUAGCCGCUCACAGAAUAAUAUUAGUCAUGAGUUGGCCGCUUACGGUCGUCGCACCCCUCGUACUGCGGUGUGGCUUUCUGCUGGGUUGGACUCUGUUGUAAACUUGGCUAUGGCUGAGAAGCCUCCUUGA
rnacentral:rRNA from 1 species